AUGAAAAUGCGGGGGGCCUUGUUCAGAAAUAUAGAAAUCCAAAAUGGCAGCAGUGUUAGGCUAAGUUGGAGCCUUUCUCAGCACAGGACUCUAUGCAACUUCAUGGGCCACAUGCCCGUGAAGCCUGGCCUGCUUGGCAUCACUUUCUUUGAUGAAAAGCACUUAGCCUACAUGGUUUCCAGCAUGCUGUUGGCACUUGCGAAUAGAAGGAUGGAUGGAUUGGAAUGGAAUGGAAUAGAUGGACACAUAGAUGGAUGGAUGGACAGACAAAUGAUGGGGAAAAAAAUAAAGUUGAAAAGGUACAAGAACCAGGUCAAAGUGCCCUGUAUAUCCUGGAACAGAAUUUGGAUUUUAUCCUAAAGGCAAUUGAAGACCAGGAAGUAUUUUAAAUGGAAGUAUGACAACAUCCCUAAUUGGAUUUUUGAAAGAUGGGGAUACAAAGGAGCCUAGAGUGACCAGUUUAGAAUCUGCAAUAGAUCAAGCAAGAAGAUGGAGAGGGGGUGGAGAGAAGAUUGGUUCGAGAGAUAAUUAGGGGAUUGAACUAUGAGAACUUUAUUAAUCAAUAGGAAUGGGUAGGGUGAUUUCCAGGUUUCUGUCUUGGAUCAUUGAUGCCAAUCACUGAUCAGAAGAUAAGAAUAAGGAGCAGGUUUUGAGGAUAAAUAACACGUGCCUUUGUGCUCAGUGGCAAUUUCAAAUCUGCUCACUUUUCUCAAGCUUCACCAAAGAUGCCCAGCAGAGAAUCUCACUUGUUUUCUCCUUCACGGAAAGUCAUAGUCAUCAAGCAAGAAUCUCUCCACCUCCUUACUGCCGGUGACUAACCUGUCUGCAUCCUUCUCCUUCAGUCCUUGGUAGAGGAGGUUCCUCCCCAGGUCUCCUCCAACCCUGUGCCCCAGGACCUCACCCACAGUAAAGCCUCUUCUUAGACCUUUAACCUGGCCCUCUCCACUCUUCUCCACAGCAUAUAGCUUUCAAAUGUCUCCUGAAUUAAAAAGAACCUUCUUCCAUGUGUUGCCUAUUCCUUGCUUUUCUUUAACAACUGGCUUUCUACUUGUAGUACAUUUUUGUUGUGAAAAGCUCAAAAAUACAUAUGAAGGAGAUGAAAACGAAGUUACAUGGAAUUCUACUAUCCAGAAAUAGUUCUUGCUGAUAGGCUGGCAUAUUUCUUUCUAGUAAUUUUUCUAUGCAGAUAUGCCUGCAUGCAUAAAUGAGUAUUUUAUACUUUUCACUUCAAACUACAAGCAUUUUCCAUGUUUUAAAAAAAAAUGCCAUUGACAUUUUAAAUGAUGUGUAAAUAAUCUAUUGUCUGGCUAUACCAAAAUGUAUUUGAUUAAAUCUUACCAUUGCACUUUUAAAUUUUUCUACUAUUUUUGUCAAGUUUAUGUACUAUAAACGCUUUUACUCACAUUUCAGAUUGUUUCCUUCAGAUAGAUUUCUAAAAUUGGGAUUCUUACGUCAAAGAGUAUGAACGUCUUUAAAGUUUUUGAUACAUAUUCCCAAAUUGCUUUCCAGAUAGGUUGCACCAAAAUACAUUGCUAUUCAUUCUGCCUUUGCCAGGCUUAUCAUUCUUAAGACUGAAAAAGAAUCUUUUAUCUAAUGAUCAAAAACGAUAUCUGGUUUUUUUAUUCUGUAUUUCUUCAAUUAAAAGUGAAGCUGGACACUGAACUAUACACUUAAAAAUGGUUAAGAUGGUAAAUUUUAUGUUAUGUGUAUUUUACCACAAUAAAAAAUUUUUUUGGAAAAAAAAGUGAAGUUGG
rnacentral:lncRNA from 1 species